rnacentral:rRNA from 1 species
AACGCGAAGAACCUUACCUAGAUUUGACAUGCUGGGAAAAGCCACAGAGAUGUGGUGUCCUUCGGGGCCCAGCACAGGUGGUGCAUGGCUGUCGUCAGCUCGUGUCGUGAGAUGUUGGGUUAAGUCCCGCAACGAGCGCAACCCUUGUUCUAUGUUGCCAGCACGUUAUGGUGGGGACUCGUAGAAGACUGCCGGGGUCAACUCGGAGGAAGGUGGGGACGACGUCAAGUCAUCAUGCCCCUUACGUCUAGGGCUGCACACAUGCUACAAUGGGCGGUACAGAGGGCUGCUAAACCGCGAGGUGGAGCCAAUCCCUAAAACCGCUCUCAGUUCAGAUUGCAGGCUGCAACUCGCCUGCAUGAAGUUGGAGUUGCUAGUAAUCCCGGAUCAGCACUGCCGGGGUGAAUACGUUCCCGGGCCUUGUA